UACCAGCACCCCGAGUGGUCGGGACGAUUAUUGGGCCUAAAGCAUCCGUAGCCGGUUCUGCAAGUCCCUCGUUAAAUCCAGCUGCUCAACAGAUGGGCCGCGGAGGAUACUACAGAGCUAGGAGGCAGGAGAGGCAAGCGGUACUCAGUGGGUAGGGGUAAAAUCCGUUGAUCCAUUGAAGACCACCAGUGGCGAAGGCGGCUUGCCAGAAUGCGCUCGACGGUGAGGGAUGAAAGCUGGGGGGAGCAAACCGG
rnacentral:rRNA from 1 species